CGCAGCUGAUCUAAGUUCCUGGAAAACAACUCGGGCUAACGGCUUAUUUUUAGGCUCCAUGCAUCUGCGAGGAUGUGCGAGCUUUUUGCAGCUACGAUGGAAAGGACCUUGAUUAGUAAGGGCAGGUCAAGUCGAUCUGACUAUUGAUUACCCAGGGUUUCAUCUGUACCUGUAACGUGGAAGGAAGCCGAAGGAGAAGGGAUGCGAACGGCCUUUGAUAAGCUUGUCAGGCGGUCACUUGUGUCUUUGUCGCUAACACCCUGGCAGGCAGUUCCCUGCAACGGUUUAUAAAUACCUCCUCGUAUGGACCCAGAGUCAGGAUGAAGCCAUCUGUUCCACCUGCCUGUUGAACUCUGGAAUAACUCCACGUAAUAAGUUGCUGCUCAUAUUACCUUUCCAGGAGAGUGUUUUCUUAAGCUACUUGAGCUUUUUUAAGAAGCCACUAUUGACCUGCUGCUGGUAGAAACUUCAGAAGGAUUAGGAGGCAUUUUUCCUAAGAGCUUUCUGUUGUACCUUUUCCUUUUCUACUUUUAAAAAAUGCUGGCUUCUUGGUUGGAGUUGUCUUGUGGGAACCUAGAGGCCAGUUCUAGGUCCCCAUUGCUCACAUUUGCAUAUGCAAAGAAUCUGUCUGGGGUUUCCAGUGGAAAAAGAAUCCACCUGCCAAUGCAGGAGACACGAGACAGGGGUUCAGUCCCUGGGUGGGGAACAUCCCCUGGAGAAGGGAAUGGCAACCCACUGCAGUUUUCUUGCCUGGAAAGUCCCAUGGACAGAGGAGCCUGGCGGGCUACAGUCCAUGGGGUCACAAACAAUCGGACAGGACUCAGUGUGAGGGCCACACACACAGGACCUAUUUCUGGGUGCCAGGACCUGCUGCUUAUAUGCGCCUUCUGGACCACUCUGGCAGGGACCCUACACAAGUGUGCUCACUGCAGCGCAGGUCCGGCUCUCCACAAAUCCAGCUUCUGGAGACAAACAGAGAUGCUUAAAGCUGCUGUGAGAACGUUCCCGAGAAGCAGUUAGGCUUGACUGAGAAGUCCUUGAAUGGAUGCUGAUGUUAAGGCUGGCGAGUGGCGGAUGAAAGAGCAUUUCAUCUGCUUCUUAUGUGGAAAUGGAGUUGGAGCUAUCAAGUUCAAAUUAAGCACCAGCAUCAGGGUCCUUUCCAAUGAAUCUGCUCCUCACAUCAGGUGGCCAAAUUAUUGGAGCUUCAGCUUCAGCAUCAGUCCUUCCGAUGAAUAUUCAGGAGCAGUCAAAGGAAGAUACUCAGCUCUUGGAUUUGGCAUCAGGACCAUAGGAGAAGAUGUAUGCAAAACAGCUAACACUGUCUUCUCCCCUGUUGUGCGGUGAAAUAAUCUGCUCACUGGAUCAGUGGUCCUGAUAGCAGUUAGCUACUAACAGUGACCCAUGACAAGUUUCCACCAGUUCCUGAUUUCCUAUAAAAUAAGAACAAGGUACUUGGAAACAUAUCUGUUAGAAGAUUUGACUGAUGAGUCCUGUGUUCACGCCCCAAACUUUGCUGGGACAAUGUCCAGAGUCCGUGAUGCUUCUUUCUCCCCUUUUUAUCCAGAUGAGUUCUGCAGCAUAUACAGGACUUGACAGAGGAACAAUAAGAGACUUUAAUAAUUCAUAUCUGAGAGGAGUGAUUCUUGUUAUGAGGACAUCAAAUGGAUUGCUUAUUCUAACACCUAGGAAAUGCUACGGACCAUUCUAGUUCCUACUGAAAAGGCCUGUUCUUUUCUGUCUUGGAAAUUUCUGAUACUGGAGGGUCAGUGAUUCUUGGCCAAGAACCUCUUUGCUAAAUUGUCUGUGCUCCUUUGGAGUUUCAGCUGAAGAUAUGGGUGUAAUUUUGUCAGCUAGCGGGAGGAGAAAAGGGAGGGGAGGAGAGGAAGGAAGAACCUUGGAGAGUCAGAAAGGUCAUCGCCCCGUCGUGCUCUCUGCGUGUUCUGAUGUGAACUGGCAGUGGCCUCCUGCCCCAGGAAAUAGCAUCGCAAGCGGCCUCAGCCCAACACUGCUGAACAAACUUAACGUGGGUGCUCCUUUCUCUGGACCACGUUCCGUCAUCUGAAUCUGAAAUGGCAGCUGCGUCGAAACACGUUUGUGUUAUGUAGACCUAAUUCCAGUUUUUAAAAAUGCUGAUUCAAAGCCCUGUGUAACCAACCCGCAGCAAUCAGUCACGUUUGUCAGUUUCUUUGACUAAUCACACCAGGACUGGAUUCCAUGCCAUCACGUGAUAGAGAAGCUGUGUUUUCCGAAUCAUUGAUGAUAGAAACUACCAUUUAUUGGACUUACAACAUCCAAUUCUAUA